ACCCAAUAAAGUUAAAUCUUGGGCUACGCUGUAGAAAGCUUUAGCCCGGACAAAAAUAAACCACGAAGGUGACUUUAGACGAUCCGACCACACGACAGCUAAGACACAAACUGGGAUUAGAUACCCCACUAUGCUUAGCCCUAAACCUAAGCAGCUAAAUAACAAUGCUACUCGCCAGAGUACUACUAGCAACAGCUUAAAACUCAAAGGACUUGGCGGUGCUUUAUAUCCCUCUAGAGGAGCCUGUUCUGUAAUCGAUAAACCCCGAUAAACCUCACCAACUCUUGCUAAUACAGCCUAUAUACCGCCAUCUUCAGCAAACCCUAAAAAGGAAAUAAAGUAAGCAAAAUCAUAAAACAUAAAAACGUUAGGUCAAGGUGUAGCCCAUGAGUUGGAAAGAAAUGGGCUACAUUUUCUAGCAUAGAACAUCGACGAAAAUUUCCGUGAAACCGGAAAUAGAAGGAGGAUUUAGUAGUAAAUUAAGAACAGAGAGCUUAAUUGAAUUAGGCCAUGAAGCACGCACACACCGCCCGUCACCCUCCUCAAGUAUAAAGAUACAAUGCCCAAUCCUAUUAAUAAAUGUACACACACAUGAGAGGAGAUAAGUCGUAACAAGGUAAGCGUACUGGAAAGUGCGCUUGGACAAAUCAAAGUGUAGCUUAUGCAAAGCACCUGGCCUACACCCAGAAGAUUCCAUACAACAAUGGCCACUUUGAACAAAUGCUAGCCCAUGCAAAUAUAAACUCAACUAAUAAUACAAAAUAAAAUAAAACAUUUACCCUAACUAAAGUAUAGGAGAUAGAAAUU
rnacentral:rRNA from 1 species